rnacentral:rRNA from 1 species
UUUAUUUGAUUUCCUUCGGGACUGAUUAUUUUGUGACUGAGUGGCGGACGGGUGAGUAACGCGUGGGUAACCUGCCUCAUACAGGGGGAUAACAGUUGGAAACGACUGCUAAUACCGCAUAAGCGCACAGGGUCGCAUGACCUGGUGUGAAAAACUCCGGUGGUAUGAGAUGGACCCGCGUCUGAUUAGCCAGUUGGUGGGGUAACGGCCUACCAAAGCGACGAUCAGUAGCCGACCUGAGAGGGUGACCGGCCACAUUGGGACUGAGACACGGCCCAAACUCC